rnacentral:rRNA from 1 species
UACGUAGACAGCGAGCGUUGUUCGGAAUUACUGGGCGUAAAGAGUGUGUAGGCGGUGCUCUAAGUUCGGUGUGAAAUCUCCUGGCUCAACUGGGAGGGUGCGCCGGAAACUGGAGUGCUUGAGCGUGGGAGAGGAAAGCGGAAUUCCUGGUGUAGCGGUGAAAUGCGUAGAUAUCAGGAGGAACACCUGUGGUGUAGACGGCUUUCUGGACCAUAGCUGACGCUGAGACACGAAAGCGUGGGUAGCAAACAGG